rnacentral:rRNA from 1 species
GACGAACGUUGGCGGCGUGCUUAACGCAUGCAAGUCGAACGGAAAGGCCCUGCUUUUGUGGGGUGCUCGAGUGGCGAACGGGUGAGUAACACGUGAGUAACCUGCCCUUGACUUUGGGAUAACUUCAGGAAACUGGGGCUAAUACCGGAUAGGAGCUCCUGCUGCAUGGUGGGGGUUGGAAAGUUUCGGCGGUUGGGGAUGGACUCGCGGCUUAUCAGCUUGUUGGUGGGGUAGUGGCUUACCAAGGCUUUGACGGGUAGCCGGCCUGAGAGGGUGACCGGCCACAUUGGGACUGAGAUACGGCCCAGACUCCUACGGGAGGCAGCAGGGGGGAAUAUUGCACAAUGGGCGGAAGCCUGAUGCAGCAACGCCGCGUGCGGGAUGACGGCCUUCGGGUUGUAAACCGCUUUCGCCUGUGACGAAGCGUGAGUGACGGUAAUGGGUAAAGAAGCACCGGCUAACUACGUGCCAGCAGCCGCGGUGAUACGUAGGGUGCGAGCGUUGUCCGGAUUUAUUGGGCGUAAAGGGCUCGUAGGUGGUUGAUCGCGUCGGAAGUGUAAUCUUGGGGCUUAACCCUGAGCGUGCUUUCGAUACGGGUUGACUUGAGGAAGGUAGGGGAGAAUGGAAUUCCUGGUGGAGCGGUGGAAUGCGCAGAUAUCAGGAGGAACACCAGUGGCGAAGGCGGUUCUCUGGGCCUUUCCUGACGCUGAGGAGCGAAAGCGUGGGGAGCGAACAGGCUUAGAUACCCUGGUAGUCCACGCUGUAAACGGUGGGUACUAGGUGUGGGGUCCAUUCCACGGGUUCCGUGCCGUAGCUAACGCUUUAAGUACCCCGCCUGGGGAGUACGGCCGCAAGGCUAAAACUCAAAGGAAUUGACGGGGCCCCGCACAAGCGGCGGAGCAUGCGGAUUAAUUCGAUGCAACGCGUAGAACCUUACCUGGGUUUGACAUGGAUCGGGAGUGCUCAGAGAUGGGUGUGCCUCUUUUGGGGUCGGUUCACAGGUGGUGCAUGGCUGUCGUCAGCUCGUGUCGUGAGAUGUUGGGUUAAGUCCCGCAACGAGCGCAACCCUUGUUCACUGUUGCCAGCACGUUAUGGUGGGGACUCAGUGGAGACCGCCGGGGUCAACUCGGAGGAAGGUGGGGAUGACGUCAAGUCAUCAUGCCCCUUAUGUCCAGGGCUUCACGCAUGCUACAAUGGCUGGUACAGAGAGUGGCGAGCCUGUGAGGGUGAGCGAAUCUCGGAAAGCCGGUCUCAGUUCGGAUUGGGGUCUGCAACUCGACCUCAUGAAGUCGGAGUCGCUAGUAAUCGCAGAUCAGCAACGCUGCGGUGAAUACGUUCCCGGG